rnacentral:rRNA from 1 species
UACGGAGGGUGCGAGCGUUGUCCGGAAUCACUGGGCGUAAAGGGCGCGUAGGCGGCCUGAUAAGUAGGGGGGUGAAAUCCUGCGGCUUAACCGCAGGGCUGCCUUCUAAACUGUCAGGCUCGAGCACAGUAGAGGCAGGUGGAAUUCCUGGUGUAGCGGUGAAAUGCGCAGAUAAUCAGGAAGAACACCCGUGGCGAAGGCGCUCUCUGGAACGCAACUGACGCUGAGACGCGAAAGCGUGGGGAGCAAACAGG